ACAGCUGUGUCCGGAAGCAGCAAGCGUGCCUGGGCAGAGACCCCCAGAGUGUAAAGAGGUCCUGGGACAGGCUUUGCACGUUCCACAAGAGGUGAGCACCCGGACUAGGACUUCCAUCCGUGUGGCCCUUCCUAUAGCCCGAUUCGCCCGGGCCAGAGCGCGAGCCGGGGCACCUGGGCGUUGGGGACCACUCUGCUCCCCAAAGGUUGCCGCUACCCGCCCGUCCCACGGCUCCCGGGCACCCCCGCCCCCCGCGGGCGGACCCACCUGCGCUGGGAGGAGGCGCGGGGGACGCGGAGCUGCGGCGCCCGCCACAGAGCCCAGGCGCUGGCUAGAGCGGCGCCACGUCCCGGCUCAUCGAAACGCAGCGCACUCUGCAGGCUUGGGGAGGGACUUGCGGCGGAAGAGGCCGGCUCGGAGGCGCGUGCGCGGGGGCUCUGCGCUCGCUGUCCGGAAACGCCUCGUACCUGUUAGCCACCUGGUGUGUACGAGUGCGCACGGGCGACUGUAGCGUGCGUGUGAAAUGGGGGGAGGACCAUGCCAGUUGGUAACUCAGAGUGCAAUGUAGUUAGUGGAAGAGGUUUCUCCAACAGCCGGAAACCCGCACCUUCACUACUCCACUGACCUCACCCUGGCCACACCGACAGCCUUCUAGAUGUCAAAUCUAACAGGGGGAGUUUCCUGUCAUUUUCUCUAACCUCUGAAGCAUUUGACGCUACCCAUUUCUUUAUACUUGACACCCCCAUUCUGGCUUCUCCUCCUGCACCUCUGCCUCUCUCUUCUCAUCUGUUCACCUCCACCCCUAAAUGUUGGUGAUCUCCAGGGCCCUUUCCUCACCCCUUUUUCACUUCACCCACUGUUCCUGGGAGAAUGUUUAAAUGUAAGCCUUCAACUGCUUCGAGUUGGAGCUCCUCAGAGCUGUUUUGGCCCACAAAUCUGGCAUUACACUUUCUCUGGGUGAGUUCAUCCACACUCAUUGUUUUAAUUACUACCUGUAAAUUGAUGACACCCAAAUUUAUAUCUCCAGCCCAGAUGUCUUGCAAGCUUAAAUAACAAUAAAUAAUAUACAUGCACAUACAUAUUCAAACACCUGUUGGAUAUCACCUGGUGUCCCAGAGACACCUCAAACUCCAAAAGCCAAAAGGUAUAAAUUAUCUUUCAUCCAUCCUGUCUAAACAUUGGCCUUUAUGUUUUCUAUUGUAGUGAAUGGCACUAUUUCCUCCUCACUUCUUAAACUCGCUUAAAUACUCUUUCUCUUCCCACUGCCACUAGGAGUUCAAACUCCGAAUUUCUUCUCCAGAUUGUUGAAAGUCUUUUCAGUGUUCUCCACCUCAUCCCUUGUUAUCAGUCCAUCCUCUGUGCUACUGAAUCCAUUUUUCUAAAAUGCAGAUUUGACGUCAUAUCUGUGCCUAAAAGUGCUGAGUGGCUCCUUUUCAGGAUAGAAUUGUAAUCUCUCAGCUCAGCACAUCAGACCUAUUGGCAUUUGGGCUCUGCCUACUCUCUGGCUGUAUAUCCUGCCUGACCCUGCCAAAAACUCUUCAUGACAGCCUACAGAAAUACUUGCAGUUUCCUAAAUAUGUUAGCCUGUUCCCUCUUGACUCUCCUUUCUCCACACUCCUCCUUUGCCACAGUAAUUCCUGUUUAUCUUUAAGAUUUAACUUUUUGAACUCCACAGUACAAAGAAAAAAAAAUGUAACUCAAGUGGCACCUCGAGGAAGUUCUCUAAAAUGCCCCAGUCUGAUUUGAUAGACCUUCAUAUGUACUUUUAAAGACUGUGAUUUUUUUCCCUGUGCCUACUGCAAAGAAGGUUUUCUGGUGGAGCCUUUAUGAGGUUCAGGGUGGCUAGUGAGUGUGUGUGUACCACACGUACACGUGUGUGAUGUCUUUGCGAAUAGUGUGUCCAUGUGGCAUGUGUGUGUUUAUAACUCACACCUGGGUAAGAAGGUAGUGCUUUAAAUUUUUUUUUUUUUUUUUUUUGAGACAGGGUCUCACUCUGUUGCCCAGGCAGGAGUGCAGUGGCACGAUCUCUGCUUACUGCAACCUCUGCCUCCUGGGUUCAAGCGAUUCUCCUGCCUCAGCCUCUGGAGUAGCUGGGACUACAGGCAUGCACCACCACACCCGACUGAUUUUUGUAGUUUUAGAAGAGACGGGGUUUCACCAUUGCUUUAAAUCUUUAUAUAUCCUUCACACCUCUCUCAGCCCCUGGAAAUGUAUGUAAAGUGUCCAUUAUAUACUUGUCCUUUCCUAGAUCCUAUAACAAAUUCUCGAAAAGAGACAUUUUUCCUAUCCCUGUGUAUUUGUAGUCCCAGUGAGGAAAGAGUUAAGCCAUUUAUUGGUUCUCUUUGUGCCAGCCACUGUGAUGGGAGUUUUGCAUACAUAGGAGGGAUGUGCACACACACAGAAUUACAGGUAGGAGGCAGUAAGCAGAGUGAUUAAGAACAUGGAUCCUGGAGCCAGACUGCCUGGCUACAAAUCCUAGCUUUGCCACUUGCUUGUCCCAGUGUGACCUGGGGCAAGUUACUUAACUUCUGUAUUGCGUUUCCUCUAUGUCUGAAUUUCUUCAACAGUAACAUAGGAAAAAUAUUAUCUAGCUGCUGCAGUUGAAGUUAAUCUGUUGAAGUUAAGCUGAAAUAAAAGAAUCUAUGUAAAGUGCUUAGAAUAGUGUCUGUACUAAGUAAGGGCUCAGUAUAGUAAUAGGAAGCUGAGGCUCAGAAAGAUUAAGUAACUUGUUGAGGGCCACCCAUGUAAUAAGUGGCCAAAUGGGACCUGUGUCUAGUCUGGUCCAGCCCUCCCACCUCACCACCAGCCUUCUUUUGUUGGUGGUCACCUCCUUCUCUAGCUUCCUGCUCUGUGCACACUCAUAGGCGCAACCAGAUACUUGGGAACACAGAUGCCCUCAAGUGCAGAUUUGCCAGGUACAGCCUUGCAUCAUAGUCACUAAUCACAUUGUGAUUAGCAAUCUUGAAACUGGGAAGGUUGAGUCAAGCAGGCUUAAGAGAGGAAGUGAGUCUCAUGAAAAAAUCUGCAUCAGAGAAGGCAGGGCUUGAGUUUUGGAAAGAGCGGGCAGGAAGGGUAUUUCAGGUAUGUAAUAUGACGUGAAGGUGGGGGAGAGAAAGCCAAACUAACUUAGCUGGCUGGCACAGAGAGGCUGAGCCAGGUGCCUUUGGAGAUAAGAGCAGUGGAACUGAUGAUAAUAAGCCUCUUGCUUGAAGGCAAAAGGAGUUGUCAGGAGUUAUAUUUGGCCUCCUAUGUGGGAUAAGUGGGAACCAUGCAGGUGUCUGAGAGCCACAAUCUUUUUUUUUUUUUUUUGAGACGGAGUCUCGUUCUGUCACCCACGCUGGAGUAGUGGUGCGGUGUCUGCUCACUGCCAGCUCUGCCUCCCAGGUUCAUGCCAUUCUCCUGCCUCAGCCUCCUGAGUAGCUGGGACUACAGGCGCCUGCCACCCUGCCCAGCUAAUUUUUUGUAUUUUUAGUAGAGACGGGGUUUCACCUUGUUAGCCAGGAUGGUCUCGAUCUCCUGACCUCGUGAUCUGCCUGCCUCGGCCUCCCAAAGUGCUAGGAUUACAGGCGUGAGCCACCAUGUCCGGCUUUUUUUUUUUUUUUUUUUUUGAGACAAAUUUUGCUUUUGUUGCCCAGGCUGGAAUGAUGCAAUGGCACCAUCUUGGCUCACUGCAACUUGUGCCUCCCGGGUUCAAGCGAUUCUCCUGCCUCAGUCUCCCGAGUAGCUGGGAUUACAGGCAUGCACCACCAUGCCCAGCUAAUUUUGUAUUUUUUGUAGAGACAGGGUUUCUCCUUGUUGGUCAGGCUGGUCUUGAACUCCCGACCUCAGGUGAGCUGCCUGCCUCGGCCUCCCAAAGUGCUGGGAUUAUAGGCGUGAGCCACCGUGCCCUGAAAGCCACAAUCUAAAUGAUGUUUGAAGAAGAGAUUUUUACUGCCCUCUAUGUAUAGAAAGAAACAAACAGUAAUUGAGUAUCAACAGAGCCCCAGACAUCUUAUUUACUGCACUCACUACCUAUAUGAAAUAGGUAUUAUCCAUAUUUUACAAUGAAGCAACAGGGAAUACAGUGGGUUUGCAGAGGUUAGUUUCUUGUCCAAAGUCACACAUCUUCGAGAUUCAGAAUUGAGUCGGCUGUAUAGGUGAGAGUGACCAUUGCCAGAGGCCUGAACCUGAGUUUCUUGAGACCUGGAACCCUGGCGUCUUUCCACCCCUGCCAAUUCUUUCUCUACUCCUGCUCCCAACAUACAUACACAGAAGCACACACACAUAGUCACUUACAAUGGCUCCAGGACCCUGAGCCCGUCACAGACCAGAGAGUCUGGAGGGAGGAAAGGGGGCCACGAGCCCUGGGUCAGGGCCCUGGGCCAGGGCCCUGGGUCAAAGCUUGGCUAGAAGCCAUGGUCUGACGGCAGGGGGAGCAAGUGCGAGACAGGUAAUGGAGCUGUCUCCGGGCCAUGUGCAGUGUGUGGUAGUGUGUGCAUUUAUUCAGUCUCUUGAUGUUCAGCAUCAGUGCUGGGCCUCACAGCAUGUUGGGUGCCAGGGAUCCAGUAGUGGACCAGAAAGACAAGUCUCUGUCUUCCAGAGCUUACAGUGGCGUGUAGCACUGUCCGAUAGAACUUUCUGUGACAAUGGAAGUGUUUGGUAUCUGUGUCAUCUAACACGGUUGACAGUAGCCCCAUGUGACUGCUAAGCGCUUGAAAUGUGCCUAGUGCAAUUGAGGAACUGAAUUUUUCAUUUUUUUUCAUUUUAAUUAACUUAAAAAUUUUUUUUUGGCCACGGGCCAGCUGUAAUGCUGUAGUGCUGUAGUCCCAGCACUUUGGGAGGCCGAGGCAGGCGGAUCACUUGAGGUCAGGAGUUGGAGACCAGCCUGUCCAACACAGUGAAAUGCCAUCUCUACUAAAAAUACAAAAAUUAGCUGGGCGUGGUGGUACGUGCCUGUAGUCCCAGCUACAUGGGAGGCUGAGGCAGGAGAAUCGUUUGAGCCUAGGAGGUGGAGGUUGCAGUGAGCUGAGGUCAUGCCACUGCACUCUAGCCUGGGAAACAGAGCAAGACUCGGUCUCAAAAAAAAAAAAAAAAUAGGUGGGACUACAGGCACACACCCAGCUAAUUUUUAAAAAUUAGCCCAUGCCUGGCAAAUUUAAAAAAAAAUUAUUUUUAGAGACAGGAUCUUUCUAUAUUGCCCAGGCUGGUCUCCAACUCCUGGCCUCCAAGCAAUCAUCCUGCCUCAGCCUCCCAAAGUGCUGGGACUGCAGGCAUGAGCCACCGCACCUGGCCUAAUUUAAAUGUAAAUAACUGCAUGGGGCUAGUGGCUAGUAUUGGACAGAGCAGGUCUCUUGGGUGAGACACGUAAGAUGGAGUAGGACAGGGGCCCAUGAGGGCCCACAGAAGGGACACCUCACCCAGACUCAGGUUAAGAAGAACUUGUUUUAGAUCUGGUGAUUGUAACGGUUUACAUUUUUUUCUGUUUAACUUUUGAUGCUUACUCUAUUCUUCUAUAAAACUUGUCACUGAGGCAUAAUGUAUUAUACUGAAAGUGCACAAAUCACAGAUGUGCAGCUCUGAUCCUCCUAUUUUAAAACUCUCCCAGACACAGGUAUGGGUAAAAGGUUUAGUGGGGGACGGGAGACACAGAACGGAGGUAAAUGUGGGGAAGGAGGUUAGAAAACCCCCUCUUCAGGGAUGAUCUGGCAGAACCUAGAAUCCACAUGAAUGUCCCUGUGGCUGUGGGGGGGCAGUGGGCAUGGAGAGUGAGGAUGGAGAAGGACUAUUUCUGAGGACCAGUAGGCAGGAUUUGGUAGCAGGUGAGACUAAGAUGCAGGGACGAAGGGAACUGGGAGGAAGGCUUGCAGUUGUAAAGCUGAGGACUUGAGAAUUUGUGGUGUCCACAGAGGUCCUAGAACAUGGGCGUGGGGAGGGAUGGUUGCAUGAGAAGAGGAAGGGCUACUUCUCACAUGUUUGGUUUUGAUGUGGAGAUGUCCUGAGGCAACAAGAAAUCCUUGCCUGGAGAGAGGCUGAGAGGUCAAGGCAGAAGAAGUCAGCGUGGGCGUCAGGUGUGCGCAGGUAGUCAUUACACCCAGCAGAGAAUGGGUGCUCUGGGGAGAGGGGAGGUGAGGGAACCCACAAACAAGCUUUGAUAGAGCGUGGUGAGGGCAGGGCUGAGGGUGUGGGGUGGAGAAGCCUCAGUGGAGGGCAAAAGAAGAAAUGGACAACGAAGAGAGGAGAACUUCUGUGCUCCCGAAGCCAUAAUUAAUGAGAAAUUAUAAUGACUGAAUACUUUAUAGCCAUGAUGGCAAGAAACUGAAGCUCUGCCCGAGGCCGCACAGCCAGAAGCAAUAAAGCCUGGCCUUGUGCUCAGGCUGAUUCCAGAAGACGCUUUCUUGCUGGCUUUCCCUCCAGCCUUGCCCACCAUGCUUUGCUGGAGCCGGCCAGGGCCAGGACUGUGGGAGGAGGGUGGAAGGAGGCAUCCAGAGACCUCUGGGAAUCUUGGGUGGGGGUGCUGGAUGCUGGCCUUGUGGGGAAGCGGGGCCAGCAAGGGGAGGCAACUCAGGCCAGAUGGUCUGGAUCUAAUCUUGGGACCCAGAUGAAAUCAAAUAUUGGGAAAUCUGAGUCCCAGCACAAGUUGGGGUCAAGAAAAUGAAAGGGGAAGAGCAGCGCUGGGUGCCUGCCACGUGUCAGUGAUAGCAGAGUUGAAGCUUCCCCAUGGCACAAGCAGAAGUGCCCAAUUCUUAUCUCUUGCAACAGGGACUUCCUCUGCCCCCAGCUUCCUGAUUCUUUAUAACUCUGACCAUCGCAGAGCACAGCGUUAUAGCGAGACAGGGCAUGAUGGAUCCCCAGCAGCCCAGAGAUACUCAGUGAAGUCACAUACCCGGAGGUGGGGCCAGUGAAGUCACAUACCUGGAGGUGGGGCCAGGUUUGGAAACCAGGUUUUCAAAUGACUAUCUUAGUGCUUUUGCACCCAUCAGCUCUAUCUUAGGAUAUGUUGAGCAACAAAAUGGUGAACUGUGGGGGUGCUGGUGGGAUAGUAGAUAUGGUUGUAACGGAUAGGACAUCCAUCACCAAAUAAUAUGAAUUAAUGUGUCUUUGUCAACCUGGAGGGAGGUCCCUAGUGAUGGCACUUUUUCAGUGACGUGGGAUGAGCACAGAUGCCACUCUCAUAAUCGAAGGUCACUUGCACAUAAUUGGGAGGAAUACUGGAUGAUGGCGUCUGGUGAGAUUGUUGGGCCAGAUUUGUCAUGUGGUAUUGAAUAGGGACAGAAUUACACUCUGGUUCUUUGGUCUUCAGAUAAUCAGCUGCACAAGAGUGAGAUACGUGAGGGGUGGAAUAACGAUAGUGUAUGAAGACAGGAGGACUCUGGCUGAUAAGAGAUUGGAAAGAAUUGACUGUGAUCUGCUUGCCAAAAGCACUAACAUGACUUUGGGAUGCACUAAGAGAGCUUUAGUACCCAGAACAAUGGGGCUCAUAGGCCCCAGACUCUGUGAGAGUCAAACCCUGUGAGGAGUGUGUGGCCCAUUUUGAGAGGGACAGAGACAAACUGUAGAGUCCAGAGGUAGAAAUCAGGAUGGUGAGAAGAGCCCAUGACCACAGGGAAGACAUGAAGAUACUGAACUGGGAGAGAAGAUUCAAGGGGCAGAUGAUAAUGGUCUUUCAACUCCUGGAAUAGAAACCGAAUUGAUUCUGCAUAUCUUGAGAGCAAAGACCAAAGACCAGAGAGUGGAUGUAGAUCCUUUAUGAGGAAGGACUUUCUAAUAAUUAAAGCUAAUUAUUCUACCAAAGGUAGAAUGGGCCUCAAUGAGAGGUGGGAGGCAUUCAAGCAUAUGUUGGUCAACCACUUUGUGAGAACGUAGUAGUGGACAUUCAGAGACCAGAGUCUCUCCACUCUGAAGUUCUGAAAGAUGCUGAUCCCUGGGAUGGAGCAGGGGACUAGAGUAACUCAGAGCCCAAGAAGAUCCUCUCCACUGCCCAUUCCCCACAACUGACCAUUCCUUGGACACUUGGUUUGAAUGCUUGCAUUCUUUCUCUUCUCCCUGCUCCCCAGUUCCUUCUGAGUCAGGCUGGGGAAAUUGCUUGAUGGCCCAUGGGGGUUGCCACGUGCCUGUAGCACACUUCCUGGCUGGGGAAGAAGACGAAACAGGUUAGCCAGUGAGAAGGGAGGGCAGGUCCCCAAGGUUGCCCUAAAAGACAGAAGGGCCCCAGAGGGAAAGUCCCCACAAGAGCAUUCUAACUCUCCCAGGGUGUGGUGGGUACUGACUCAGGUUGGCGUCUCUUGGGGAAGAGUUGAGGGAAAAGCAACCAAGAAAUGGUGUUGAAAAGCUGGAAAAACUUCUUGAGCCAGCCAGAACUGAAGCCUCUGUGACAGGAGCCAGGCACUGCAUGGUGACUGGUGAUGAUAAUGACAUGUUGGCUAAAAAUUGCCCAGAGCACUGGUGGAGGUGGGAAUGUAGCCAAGAAGCUCACUGCCUGGCAAGGCUGCUGCCCAGCUGCAGGGGGCACCAUCACAUUCGGUUUUGGGCAUAUAUGAUGUGAGUGGUACCAGGAGGCAGAAGCCCUGACGUUCUAUGUCAAGUGAGAAGCAGAAGCUGUGGAACAAAGUGAGACUGUGGGUCCUGGGGAAGGAUGGGAUGCUGUCGCUGGUAGAUGAACACAGGGGGCUAAGGACAUACUCCUCUAGGGGAGGAAAGAGGAACCGCUCCUUUUGGGGGAGCACUCAGGCCUCGCCCUUUCCCUGUCCCAUUCAUCCAUCCAACAAAUACUGACUGAGGGCCCUCUGUGCCUGAUCCACGCUAGGGUGGGGGCUGCGACAGUGAGCAGAGCACAGACAAAGUCCCUGCCUCACUGAGCAUACAGGCUAGCCCUGGGCUGUUUAAUCGAACUUUCUGGAUGAUGGAAAUAAUCACAUAAGCAAAUGUAGAAGGACAACUCUGUCAACUGCUCUGCCUUUAUGGAGAGGCAUAUGGUGCUGGGUGAGCACCUGAUGGGGAGCUGCCCUGUCUGAGAAUGGGGGUGGGCUUCCUAAAGGAAGUGAGUGGGAGCUGGGGCUGUAGGUGAGCAGAAGCCCUGGCUUGGGGCUCGGUCAAGUGCCUCUUCUGUUCCUCUCAGCACCAGGUCCUGUGGUGCCUGCAUUAUAGCUCAUCCUGUGGGUGCAGCGCCCCACUUCUGCUCCUGCUGUGAACUACCUACCCAAGGGGACUCAUUUGACUGCAUUUCCUCUCACCUAGCAAGGUGCCUGCACCAUGGUGGUUGCUCAACUAACGUUAACAUAAUUUAGCCAGUCAAUUAUCAACCAACAAUUAUUGAGCGCCAGUACAGCUCAAUAUACAGUGGUGACCAAGACAGACAAGGUCCCUGCUGUCAUAGGGCUUACAUUAUAGUUGGGGAGACAGUCCCUGUAGGAGCAAAUACACACCUAAGACAAUUUCAGGGAAUCUAAGUGCCCCUGAGGGAAAUGAAACAGGGUAUUGAGACUAGUUGGGAAAGAAUGAAUGAAUGAAUAAAUGGUGAGCCAUGGAGGCACCCACCCACUGGGCUGGGGUGGGAGAUGAGGAGGAGGAGUUGGGGAUCUUAGAGCCCAGGGCAGGGAGCUUGGUCAGGGGUGGCUGCACUCCAGGCUGUAGGGCCAGGCCUCGCAGCACCGGGAGGGAGUGGACAGGGAGUGGUUCCGAAGCUCAGAAUUCAGUGUAAAGGAGAAUGCCUGGAACUGCUGACAGGAGCAAUGCUGUGUUCCUGAGUCCCCUGUGGGCCCAAUCAUGACUCAGGCUUGAGCUCUGUGCCUGGCAAAGAACACUGAGGGGAAGAGGGGCAGGGAGGACCUGGAGUAGCCCUACAGAGGCAUCCAAGGCUCCCACUGCUGGCAGCCCUGUUGGGAAAUUCUCUCUUAGGCCCCUGAGCGGGGGUUUUGAGGCUGAGGUGUGGUGUGUGGGGCCGAGGCCAAGGACCGAUGGAUAGCAGGGAUCAAUGAGUCCUUAGAGGGUCAGUCCUGGGAUACAGACACUGCCAUGGCUGGCCCAGCAUACCUCCCCUCAGGGAGGAAGGGUGGAGCUCUCACCAAUUGGUCUCACUGGGCCUGUGAGUUCAGCCACACUCUGGGUUUGCCCCAGGUACUGUGCAGUUCUGUGCUGAAGGUUUCAAAGUUUCUGUGCAUGGGGAAGGAGACAGCAGGAGAAUGGGGGAUGAAGGGUUCAAGACCUAAUCCCUAACUUUGGGAAGGAGUCAUCCUUAUCCAGGAAAUGGAUGAAGACAUCUAUGGCUCUAACACUAGUCAAGAGCCAAGUGAAUUUCAUAGUAAGAGGUUCCCUGGAAGCGGGCAAAGCAAGGGUAGAAGACGCCAGGAGAAACUUCUAGGAGGUUGAGAUGGGCCUGGCUGGAUGAAUUCUGGCAGGCAAAAUGGGGUUGGGGGCUGGGUGAAAGAAUGAGCAGUAAUCCAGAGAUCAGAACAGCUGGAGCAAAGGCGCAGAGGAAAGGGAGUGUGGUCAAGUUUAGGGAAGAGUAAGGCUCAAUGUGGCCAAGAGGAACUUAGGCUGGGUGAGCUUGGGAAAGCUUUCACCAUUCUGCCCAGUCCCCAACCCUUCCUCUACCCAAAGUAGAAGGCCUCCAAAGUCAAAACCAAACCAGAGGCCGGCACAGUGGCUCACGCCUGUAAUCCCAGCAUUUUGGGAGGCCAAGGCGGGCGGAUCACUUGAGGCCAGGAGCUUGAGACCAGCCUGGGAAACCCCGUCUCUACUAAAAAUACAAAAAUUAGCCAGGCAUGAUGUAAUUCCAUGCUACUGGGGAGGCUGAGACAGGAGAAUUGCUGAACCCAGGAGGCGGAGGUUGUAGUGAGCCGAGAUAGCGCCACUGCACUCCAGCCUGGGCAACAGAGUGAGACUCUGUCUCAAAAACCAAACCAAACAAAACCAGACACAAGAAAGCAGAAGCAGCAUGAUGCAGGGGAAAGAGCUCACACUUUUAUGCAGAGUUAUACAGAUUUGGUCGAAUCCAGACUCUCGCUGUAAAGCCUUGCAAUCCUGGAUAAGUUACUUAGAAUUUCUGAGCCUCAGUUUCCUCAGCUGUAAAAGAGUACUUACCUCAUGUGGCAGAUGAAAAGAGUAGGGCCUAGGUAGAGUGUUUGGGCGUUGCAGGUGCCCAAUAAACCUGAAUUCUCUCAGCCCCUACAAUAACACAGGUCUCUGAUGAUAGGGUGUUAAUGUGACAGUGAAGGGCCAAAGCCAAGGCACCUUUGCUCCCUCUUGCUUGAGGCCCUCUAGGGAUGCUCAGGCUGUGUCUGUUCUGGCUUUGCGCGUUUCUUCUGGAACUGCCUCUCUAAUGAGGAGGUAGCCAAGACCUCCUUACUCACCAAUAUGGGGCAUAUGUGUUGGUACUUGCUAAUAGAAAUUGCACAAAGCCGGGCCCACUUCCUCCCUUUGCCUACUUCCCAGCAUUCCUCAUGGGCUCCUCCAUUCUCAAGGGUCUACAGAAGGGUCCUUAUGUCCUCCAGAUUCACCACUAUCAAGCACAAGCAGCUUCCAGUUCCUCUCCACUGCUGGACUCUGGCUGAGGAAACUAUUCGCCCCCACAGCUGGCCCACUGCUGAGUUCCCCGGGAGGCUUGGAGCAGAGGGCAGUGGGCAGCAGCAUCCCACUGAGAACUGCAGAACUCUCAGCACAUGACAACUCUGUCCAAACCUCUGAACUAAGAGACUUGACCAACUCUAGAUUGGCUUUUAGCAGCACAAGGCUGUAUCCCUAGGAUGGCCCCAGCCCCUCUUAAAGUGCUGUCUUGAGAAAGCUCAGUGCUGCCAGAAAAAUUUAUUAUUUGUUCCAGCCAACACCUGAUGAUAGGCCCCUGACCUCACUUUCUUAGAACAUUUGGCUCAAAAUGGCUUGCCAUUGUACAUAUGUAUCUCUUGCAACUCAAAAGCAUCAGGUCUUCCUUUAAAAUCUAGUCAUCAAGGCCAGGCAUGGUGGCUCACGCUGUAAUCCCAGCACUUUGGGAGGCUGAGGCGGGCAGAUCACUUGAGGCCAGGAGUUCAAGACCAGCUUGGGCAACAUGCCAAAACUCUGUCUCUACUAAAAAUACAAAAAAAAAAAAAAACUUAACCAGGCAUGGUUGUACAUUCCUAUAGUCCCAGCUACUCAGGGGGCUGAGGUGGGAGGAUCCCUUGAGCUGGGGAGGUACAGGUUGCAGUGAGCUGAGAUCGCACCACCCACUGAACUCCAGCUCACGCUACAGAGUGAGACCCUGCCUCAAUAAAUAAAUAAAUAAAGGACAGAGCCCUAACUUAGGUACAUGCCAGCCAGAGACAGAGAGACAGCUGGCCUCAUUCCAUUCACUCUGAGGCUUUGCUAACCCCCUGCCUCCUCCCUUGACAGCUCCCAGAUCACCUGUGCACAAAUCAGAAUGGAGCUCAGCUCUUUCCCCUACUGUCAGUAGUUACUGAAUAAAGCCUGCUUUCACUGCUUUAACUAACAUCUGCUAUUUCUCUUCGAUACCACCUGCAGAAGACCCAGCCCGUGCUCCUCCUUAGCCCCUGCUCAGUCCUGAGGUGACUUCUGCCUCUUCUGCUGCUCAACAUGGGGCCCAUCAGCCUAGUUAAACCAGCAGCCAUGGGGCUCUGAGGAGGACCCCUAGGCCAGGGCACCCAUGGGCAUGUGUGUUGGGGGGAACUGAGUGGAGUGUCAGGCAGGGAGUCAGGACACACUGAGGGGGCAAGGAUGCUCUUGGUUGCCUGCAGGCAGGAGCUGAGACAGAGGUGAGGCUUGACAGAGAAAGGCAGGGAUAAGAAUGUCCUGUCACCCCCCAGGAAGGUGAAACCUGGAUGAAACGAGAGUUGUGUCCAGCCUAGGGAGGUGCCUGGCUGUGGCGACCCCUCCCACUCCUUUGAGUCCCCACCUUGGGUCUUGCCAUUGUUGCCUAAUGUUUUCAUGAUGCCAACUGGAAGCACUUUGAGAGCUGGACCUUUGUCUCAUAAGGCUUGCCUGUACCCGUCCACCCUGCCCUGCCCAGUGCUGAGCACACAGGAGGCUGCACAAACACCAGCUGACCAGGAGAUGGAGGGUUAAAGAGGGGAUUAGAGCACAGGGGCCAGUGAGCACAGGCAGGUGAUAGGGCUGAGGGGUCAGGAGGAGCAGUGCAAGGAGGGGAAGCCUGAGAAGGUGGGAGCAGUAGGGCCCAGGGGAGUGCGCUUGGUGGGGAGGGUGGGCCAAACUAGGAGGGGAAGACCAGGGACUGGAGGUGAUGGGGAGGGGCUGCGGCAAAGGACUUCUGAGGUCAUGGGUGGGGCUCUCCCUAGGGAUGGGGAGGCCAAAAGUGUAAGGGACCAGAUGCUUCAGCGACAGUGCCAAGGCCUUUGGCAUGGGUGGUAGGAGACAGAUGCCUCAGAGACAGGGCCAAGGCCUUUGGCGGUCGUGGGUGGGUAGGAGCCAGGGUGACAAAGGGAAAGGGCAGCCCUGGGCCCAGCCGCCUGCCUGGGUUUGUCCACUGGGCCCUCGUGUGUGCUCCUCACUCUCUGUGCCUGGAUCGCACCCCACUGUCACUCACAUCGUCUCCUCACUUCCCUGGCCUGCCAGAGACCUGACCUCCCCUUCUACUCAUGGGCCCAAAGGGGACUUCAGGAGCUGAUGGAAACUCCUCCUCAGUGACUUGUCCGUAAACCUGGAGUCACUGAUACCUCGGUCCAGCCCUGCACCCAUCCUCUUCCUGUUUAAUGUAGGCCAGUUAGUCAAAGCUCACAUUAGUGGGGACACCUGGGGAUAGAGGCUCCAAAGCCUCAUUUUGAUACCUCACAACCCUUGGGCAGUUGUUCUAGAAAGAGGCAUCUCCAUGUGACAUGCAUCUCACAGCCAUGUUUGGGUCCAUAUCCUUAGAGGAGACUGGGGCUGGGCCAGGCCGCUCAGGCUGGUCUCUUCUAGGCAUUCACACUGCUUCUCUGCUGUCAUUAGUCUCUAUUUAAGCUGUCACACUUUCCUCUUACCCUCUCUGUUGGUGGGGUAGGGAAGUUUCUGGUGGUGGGAGCAGAUGCAUUAGGACCUGGGAAGGGGUGGGGGCUCUGGGUGCACUUAGAAGUGUUAGACACAAGGGCCAGAGUGGGCCUGAGACUGGAAAUUAUGACUCCUCUGCUGGAGAGAGAGGCCCAGAUUUGCACGCAGCAAAUCUCUUCUCUGAAUAUCUUAGAUGUUUGCUUGUAAGGCAUGGGCUGUCUCUGUGGCCACCCAAGAAUGCAGUAGCACUGGCUGCCUCCGGGCUGAGGGCAGGGAUGAGGAGGAGACUUUUCACUGUGCAUCCUUCAAUACCUUUUGGAUUCUGAGCCAUGUGAAUGUGUUACCUCUGAAAAAUAUAAAUUAACAGGCUGGGCACGGUAAUUUAUUACGUGCCUGUAAUCCUAGUACUUUGGGAGGCUGAGAUAGGCAGAUUGCCUGAGCUCAGAAGUUCGAGACCAGCCUGGGCAAGAUGGUGAAACCCGGUCUCUACUAAAAUACAAAAAAUUAGCUGGGCGUGGUGGCAGGCGCCUGUAAUCCCAGCUACUCAGGAGGCUGAGGCAUGAGAAUUGCUUGAACCCAGGAGGUGGAGGUGGCUGUGAGCCAAGAUCAUGCCACUGCAUGCAGCCUGGGCAACAAAGAUAAACUGUCAAAAAAAAAAAAAAAUUAACAAUGCAAAACAAAAAUCUCUUCUUCUUUCCCUGGGCUCCUUUGAGGAAUUAAGCGUCUUCAGGGACCAGCCAAGAACCUUGACUUGCCUCAGUUGGGGCGGGGCUGCAUCUCGGUCAGGCCCUCAGUGCCCCAUCAGUGCUACGUCUGGCACACUGGCUUCUCCUUCACUGCUCAGGCACAUUCUUUCUUUCUCUGUGCCUGUUGCUGGUUUCAUGGCAUCCCUCAAGCCAGGGAUACCACCACCACAGUCCCACAAUAGUCCCAGGUCCCUGUUGACUCUGCCUCCUACAAUGUCUCGUCUGCUCACACCUUCACUGCAUCACAUCCCAGGGAUACUGAUAGCGGGCCAGCCUUCUGGCUACUCCUCUGGUGUCUGCCUCUCUCCUCCCUCUAGUCCAUCCUCCCCAUACCUCAGCCCCAGUGAACUUCCAAAAUUCAAAUCUGAUGAUUUUACGUUUCUGCUUAAAUCCUCCUGCAGCUGACAGUGUUAAUGCUCGGCCCAGAUCCCUCUUGAAUUUUCUUUUUCCAUUUUUGUGCAUGACACCUCACUCUGUCCUUUCUUUUAUUAUUUUUUAUUUUUAUUUUAUUUAUUUAUUUAUUUUUUUCGAGACGGAGUCUCGCUCUGUCGCCCAGGCUGGAGUGCAGUGGCACGAUCUCGACUCACUGCAAGCUCUGCCUCCCAGGUUCACGCCAUUCUCCUGCCUCAGCCUCCCGAGUAGCUGGGACUACAGGUGCCCGCCACCAUGCCCAGCUAUUUUUUUGUAUUUUUAGUAGAGUCGGGGUUUCACCAUGUUAGCCAGGAUGGUCUCGAUCUCCUGACCUCGUGAUCCGCCCGUCUCGGCCUCCCAAAGUGCUGGGAUUACAGGUGUGUGUGAGCCACCGCGCCCGGCCUAUUUUUAUUUUUAGACAGAGUCUUGCUCUGUUGCCCAGGCUGGAGUGUAGUGGCGCAAUCUCAGCUCACUGCAACCUCUGCCUCCCGGGUUCAAGCGAUCCUCCUGCCUCAGCUUCCCGAGAAGCUGGGAUUACAGGUGCACGCCACCACACCAGGCUAAUUUUUGUAUUUUUAGUGCAGAUGGGGUUUCACCAUGUUGGCCAAGCUGGUCUUGAAUGCCUGACCUCAAGUGACCCACCCGCCUCUGCCUCCCAAAAGUGCUGGGAUUACAGGUGUGAGUCAUCGUGCCCGGUCCCCACUCUGUGCUUUCAAGGCUGGCACCUGCAGCCCUUCUUGGAGGACUGCCUUUGGCCUCCUGGACUGCUUUGCCCUGGGUGGCAGUGUACCCAGUGACUGCUCUGUGGUCACUGAGCACCAUUUGCUGGUGGUAGUUUUGGUGGGAAUAAAAGCCCAGAAAAACCUUGUCCCAGGCUGGAACUAUUCUGAGGCCUUACACACCAAAGCUGUUCCCUCGCAUCAUGCCAGAGCUGCUUUCUGCAGCUGAGAGGGUGCUCGUGCUUGGCUUCACCAACCCUGCUUACUUGUCUCCCUGGGAGUACUUCAUAAAUCACUCAGGGUCUAAGGUGGAUCCUCAGUGGAAACCUAUCACCCACAAUUUAAGUCUCAGUCAUAUAUCUUUACUCCACUCUCUCUCUGGAAAUGUAUUCCAUACUGAAUCUAAAUUUAAGCCACAUCAAACUUCUAGCUGUUCUGCUACUUUUGUGUCUCAGUACCUGCCUUUAAAAACAAACAAACAAACAAAAAACCCACCUCCACCCCUCGCCCAUCCUUUAUGUGUCUGGUUAGUCUCGCCCCCUUCCUCAGUUCUCCAGGCAUGCUGCUUCUUUCCUCCUGUGUCCUCAGGGCACUCUGGGUAGUUUACUGCAGCACUCAUCUAGCCAAAUUCAACUAGUCUUCCCUGGUGUCUUGCAUGGGGCUGGGCAGAGAGUUUCAAAAAACAAAUGUCUUUGAAUGAGUAUUGAUUCCCCAAAAUGUCCUAGUGCUCUCUAGUGUCAGGCUUCCCACAUCCUGAAUCUCUUCUACCUUCAAUCAAAAGUGACUGUUCAUGUGCCAUUCCCUUGGGUGGUGUACUCUGUGGCUUAUGUUUCUAAGAUGACUGAAACUUGUCAGAGAGAAGCACAGUGGUCUGCUGUGAAUAGCACUAUUCCUUCUGGUUUCUUGGGAUACCAGGACCGAGGUCUUACUCCACAUCUUAUGGACUCUUGGGGUCCCAGUUCACUCACUGCCUUCAAUAAAUGGAAGGUCUAGAUGACUUCUAAAAUCUCCCAUGGCUGAAAUGAAAGUCUUUUGUGGGCGGGGGCCUGGUCUGUCUUGCUCUCUGUUCUAUCCUGAAGCCAAGAAUGGUGCCUGGUGCAGAGCAGGCUGUUAGAUUUAUUUGUUGAGAGAAGGAAUUGACAAUUUUUUUUUUUUUGAGAUGGAGUCUCACACUGUCACCCAGGCUGGAGUGCAGUGGCGCAAUCUCUGCUCACUGCAACCUCUGCCUUCCGGGUUCAAGCGAUUCUCCUGCCUCAGCCUCCCGAGUAGCUGGGAUUAGAGGCGUGCUCCACCAUGCCUGGCUAGUUUUUGUAUUUUUAUUAGAGAUGGGGUUUCACCAUGUUGGCCAGGCUGGUCUCGAACUCCUGGCCUCGUGAUCUGCCUGCGUCAGCCUCCCAAAGUGCUGGGAUUAUAGGCGUGAGCCACCGCGCCCGACCAGGAAUUGACAAUUUCGAUGGUUAUGUAUUGCUUGAUGCUGUAUAUAUAUUAUUUCAUUUAAUUCUCAAGGUGGUGGAGUCAGGAUUUGCAUGACAGUUUAUAUGAGUUUGAAGUCCAUGCUUCCCUCAUAAUAUCUUGAGAAUUUAGGAGACAAUGCCAUCAUGGAAAGUUUUGUUCCAAUGGUGGUUUUUGUUUGUUUGUUUUUUGUUUUUUUGAGACUGGGUCUCACUCUGUUGCUCAGGCUGUAGUGGCGUGAUCACGCUCACCAAGUCCUCCCACCUUAGCCUCCUGAGUAGGUGGGACCACAGGUGCAUUCCACCACGCCCAGCUAAUUUUUUUUUUUUUUAGAUGGAGUCUUGCUCAGUCACCCAGGCUGGAGUGCAGUGGCACGAUCUCGGCUCACUGCAACCUCCUGGGAGGUGGGUUCAUGCCAUUCUCCUGCCUCAGCCUCCCGAGUAGCUAGGACUACAGACGCCCGCCACCACGCCCAGCUAAUUUUUUUUCUUUGUAUUUUUAGUAGAGACGAGGUUUCAUCAUGUUAGCCAGGAUGGUCUCGAUCUCCUGACCUCGUGAUCCACCUGCCUCGGCCUCCCAAAGUGCUGGGAUUACAGGUGUGAGCCACUGUGCCCGGCCCCAGCUAAUCUUUAAAAAAUUGUUUUGUAGAGAUGGGGUCUCCCUAUGUUGCCCAGGUUGGUCUCAAACUUCUGGGCUCAAGCGAUCCACCUUCCUCAACCUCCCAAGGACUGAGAUUACAGGUGUAAACUACUACGCCCAGCCCCAUUGGUGGAUUUUAAUGAUGGCUGUGGAAGGCUGGAGGUGGUCCUGAGGCCCAUCUUCUUUUUAUACCACAUAGGCAACUGCCUGUGCUCCUCAUCAACCUCAGGAGAUAACAGGAAUUUAGGCUGGUAAGUGGAAGAGGGUGAGCAGGUGCUGAGGGAAUCUGAUCACUGUGAUCUGCUGCCACAGCAAAUGGUGGCAUUUAGGCACACAGUUCCAAAGGUUCUAUACCAGUCACGUACUGAUAAGCCAGCCCUCUCUCUAAAAGAAAGCUUUGAUUGGUAGCAUUUGUGGACUUUCAUGGGACAUGUACUGUCGCCAUGGCUGAUUCAAGACACCACAUGAAAUCACUGAAUGAGGACUUAGAAGAGAUGUGCAUCAGAAGCUCUCAGAAGCUGGUGAGCCACUCCACUUACCACUGGAACAGUAACUGGGGACGGUCCCCAGAAAGCCACAGGAAGACUUCUGCCAAUCUUGUGGGCAGCCUGGGGAAGCCUCAGCUCUCACUCUGAAGAUUUUGAAUAAGUAAAAUGAUUUAUGUUUCUCUGAUUUAUGGCAGCCAUCCCAUCACUUUGGAUGGUUAUCUAGGCUGUCCGGUGGAAGGUUCCCUCAGAAUAGCCCUUGGCUCCUCUUAGGAACACACCCCAUUGCCUUGCCUCAGGCUAGGACAGCCUCUUGCAUAGGCAAGGCAGCUCUAUAGGGCUCAUGCAAUUAGUUCUGCAGAAAGCAAUUCAGGUAGAACCAUCCCGAGAGGAAGGAUGAGAGUUGUCGGUGUCACAGCUAUUCCUCUGUCCCUCACUUGGAUUCAGGCAGUACCUUCUCCCCAAGUUCCAGGAAAUCAUGAACACCAAGGAAUCUGCCUUUGCUGGACUGGGCCUCAGCCAGAGAUCAGGCCCAGCUAGAAGGUAGCAGGCAUCCCUGAAGAGAUGGUGGAAUGGGGGUGGAAAACCAGUGUGAGACUGGAUGUGCCCACUUCUAGCUGUGGAGCGACUCUGCUCCUCAGCUGGGGCAUGGGAAACAGGUCUUGCAGGGCAGAGCAGGAACAGUUCUGGAGGAAAGGGGUCUUGUCCUGGGGCAGAACCCCUUGAGAAGCUUCACAUUUAUACAUCUUUGAGUCUUUCUCCCAAAUUGUUAACAUGUUGCUGAGCAGAGAAUCAGCAGUCAAAAACACAUUGAAAGAGAAAUG
rnacentral:lncRNA from 1 species